GACGAACGCUGGCGGCGUGCUUAACACAUGCAAGUCGAACGGAAAGGCCCUGCUUUUGUGGGGUGCUCGAGUGGCGAACGGGUGAGUAACACGUGAGUAACCUGCCCUUGACUUUGGGAUAACUUCAGGAAACUGGGGCUAAUACCGGAUAGGAGCUCCUGCUGCAUGGUGGGGGUUGGAAAGUUUCGGCGGUUGGGGAUGGACUCGCGGCUUAUCAGCUUGUUGGUGGGGUAGUGGCUUACCAAGGCUUUGACGGGUAGCCGGCCUGAGAGGGUGACCGGCCACAUUGGGACUGAGAUACGGCCCAGACUCCUACGGGAGGGAGCAGUGGGGAAUAUUGCACGAUGGGCGGAAGCCUGAUGCAGCAACGCCUCGUGCGGGAUGACGGCCUUCGGGUUGUAAACCGCUUUCGCCUGUGACGAAGCGUGAGUGACGGUAAUGGGUAAAGAAGCACCGGCUAACUACGUG
rnacentral:rRNA from 1 species